rnacentral:lncRNA from 1 species
GUCUAUUUCUUGCUGAACAAUCGGGGUUUUGCUUCAUCAUUGAGCUUGUCCUGCCAGCCUCCACCAGUUCCUGAAGAGAACAGGCCAAAGUGUGGAACAUACAGGAUGAAGCGAUUACAACCUGGGCGCAGUAUACUGGCUGGCUUUGCUGCUCACUCCCUUACGAAUAGCUGUGAUGGGAUAUGAAAUCCAAGGGAACUGUUAGCCCCCCAGAGCAGCUGCUCCCACCGACCCUGCUCCAAGAGUGCUGGGAUGUCCGCUGGCCUCGAGGCAAGACAAGAGCUCCAAUCACUCUGCUGCAAGCGCCACCAUUAAAGUCAAGAUCACUGUGGUGGGGGGAGUUGAAGUGUGCAUUCCAGCAUGCUCAUGAUCUUACUGACCUUCUCCACUGAUGAAUUAGAACACCCCUCUUCCCAGGCACAGGACGAGUUCAGUGCCUCUCUGUUUCUUGAUGGACCCCAAUAAAAAAACGCCUGCACUGUUUUUCACCUAA